UAGAGGUAGGUGAUCGGUGUGUCGGCGGCACUGCACGAGGAGUCCCGAGCCGAGCCGAUCGAGAAAGAGAGAGCUCUCCGGUGCCGCCGUGGAGACCGAGCCUCAGUCUUCGGCCGAUCCCCGUCACGUUUUCACCGGCGGCUCGCUUGUAACACACUCGCAAGAGCUCUCCUAUCGCUGCUCGUAUACACUGCAGUAGCAGCCCCUCUUUCGAGUGCGCGCGUUGUACCGAGGUGCGCCACAGCUGCUACCAAAAUGGCCGACUCCUGAGUGACCCUGCGCGCGCGCGAGUUUUUGGCACCGGUGAUCGUUGCCCGUUUAUGCGUCAGUGUUAUUGAGUUUGCCAGUGCUAAGCAAGAGUCGAUCUCCGCUACCGAAGUCGCCUCGCUGCCUGUGGAGUCCGAGAAGGUGUCGUAUGUGCCCCAUGAGGCGAGAAAAGACGCGAGCAGGCGGGCGGUGAGCUGCUGCUGCUGCUGAAGAAGAAGCUGCGAGUAAGAGGGAAGGAUGCAGCCGUGCCGGCGAGCGGCUUUGCCGCUUUUACUCCUCUGGCUCGUCGACGUUGCCGUGGGACACGUGGCGCUGACGUUCCCCAGAGCCAGGCAGUACGACCUAGACUUCCUGGAUAACGCCAGGACGCCCGGACCAUGUGGCAUGCCUAGAGGUGACAUCAAGACCUCGUUGCUGUCUGGAAGUAGCUUCAACGUGACGUGGCACUUGGCCUAUCCGCACAGGGGAGGAUUCAGACUGCAGAUAUUGGACGCCCUGGACAGGCCUCUAGUCGACCUUACCCCAGUAACGAAAAAGAGCGAAUUCGUGGAGAAUGACGCAACCGCGCAAAGCUACCUGGUGGAGCUGCCGACCAACUUCACCUGCACCGACUGCACAGUCAGGCUACUUCGCGAGGCCGAGGAGUGGGGAACCUCUUACAGGUUCUGGUCCUGCGCCGACGUUGACAUCGUGGACAAGCGCGCCUACAGGGAGGACUGCAGCGGACACGGCCGCUCCGUGCUAGGCCGAUGCCGUUGCGACAGGUUCUACCACGGUGCCAGGUGCCAGUACCACGAGGAGUGCCUCGACGACUCGGACUGCGGUACCCAAGGCGCCUGCAUCGACAACGGAGGCACGACACCGCCGACCAAGCACUGCUAUUGCAACAUCGGCUGGUUCGGCCCCGGAUGCUCGAAACGUUCGGUGAUGAAGAACGUCGACCUCGACCUCCAGUCCUACACGAUGAAGCGCUUCUCCGACGACUUCACCUUCUACUGGCGCAUCCUCAAGGAUUCCAAGGAAUUCGAAGGUGUGGCCGUGGUCAACGGUACCAGCUGGGUCGGCGUUGGCUGGCGUCCAAGCACCCUCACCUCGGCCUGCCGAGCUAUACCCGAGAUCCGCGAACAUGGCAAGAAGUCACCGGAGCCGCUGCCCAGGCCCGAACCCAAGUCGGAACCCGAACCCACCUCGGAGCCUGAACCUACCUCCGAACCCGAACCGGCGGCUGAACCAGAGCCGGAGGCGACGCAGGUCAAAGUCGGUGGCAACAACAAGCGCUCGGCCAAGCACGACGUCACGCCUCGGCCCGAGAGCGACGUCACCGUCCAGACGAGCGUGACGUACCACGUCAGCACCAAGAACGGUCGCAAGAAGAGAUCGCCGCAGCCCGAUCCCCAGCCAACCGGGGAGCCAGCCAGCGAGCCCGAACCCAAGUCAGAGCCAGAGCCUAAAUCCGAACCAGAGCCCACAUCCGAACCGAAAUCCGAGCCCGAGCCUAAAUCUGAACCCGAACCUAAAUCUGAACCCGAACCCAAAUCCGAGCCUGAGCCGAAGUCUGAGCCAGAGCCAAAGUCUGAGCCAGAGCCCAAGUCCGAACCUGAACCUAAAUCCGAACCUGAACCUAAAUCCGAGCCCGAACCUAAAUCAGAGCCUGAACCAAAAUCCGAACCUGAACCUAAAUCAGAGCCUGAACCAAAGUCAGAGCCCGAGCCUAAAUCCGAGCCUGAACCAAAAUCCGAGCCCGAGCCUAAAUCCGAGCCUGAACCAAAUUCUGAGCCCGAACCUAAAUCCGAGCCUGAACCAAAGUCCGAGCCCGAGCCUAAAUCCGAGCCAGAGCCGAAUUCCGAGCCAGAACCUAAAUCCGAGCCGGAACCCAAAUCUGAACCCGAACCUAAAUCUGAACCAGAGCCCCAUUCGGACGGUGCGAAAUCAGGACCACCCAAAGCCGCUCAAACGAACGCCGGACUUCACAAGUACACACCCAAGCACGACUUCAACCCGAUGGACUGCACCGACAUCGUUAUCGGAUCGGCCCGAGGAAUGAGGCAUCGCAUCGGUGACUACUACACCCGCGACAGGUCGACACCUCGAGUCGACUCGUUCUGGGGUGGCAAGGACAGUCUCACGGCUGCCAUGGGUUUCGAGAGGGACGGCCUCACGACCAUUCUCUUCAGGAGGAAACUCGCCGCCGACGAGCACUUCAGCGACCACGAAAUCAUCGACGGAGCCAUGCAGGUCAUCUGGGCUAAAGGCCAGGAACCGGGCAAAUACGUCCAUGUGCCGGCCAGCGGUGUCGAACACAGCAAAGUCAGUGUCAAGGACUUCUACAAGGCCGACGAGCUCAAAUACCACGGGCACAAGUCCCAAAGGGGCGUAGCGAGCAUUAACUUUUUCGAGGAGAAAGGAAGAGAAGAUUUCGGUGGCGGAGUGUCACUCGAAGGCGGCGGUUGCGGUGGUGAAUGGCAUUAUCCUAGGCACUGCUCGCCGGAAAAUUACACCUGCGAGUACAGCAUAAAGUGGCUCUACAAAGCGAGAAAGGAGGAAAUUUCCUUCACCGUAGUCACGAAGAACAUCGACACCUGGACGGGAAUAGGCUUCUCGAAAGACGAGAAAAUGACGCAAACGGACGCGAUCCUCGGUUGGGUCGACAAGACCAGCGGAAGAGCCUUCCUGAUGGACACCUGGAUUAACGGCUACAACUCGCCGGUGCUCGACGCUUCCCAGGACAUCUUCAACUUCAGCGGCCGCAUCGAGAACGGCGAGACCACUCUGAAGUUCAGCAGAAAGAGGGCGACCAAGGACAGCCGGGACUUGUCUUUCACCGACGAGCAGUGCCUCUACCUGAUGUUCCCCGUCAAGGGUGGCACCUUCAACCCUGUAAAUAAGAAGAUCCGCAAGCACGAAACUGUGCCCAUCGUCUCGGCUCAGAAAGUCUGCAUCAAGUCCUGCGGAAUAGAAGAGGACGACGAGGGAGCGACGACUCCACCACCGCCGCGAUUCUUCUACGACGUCGAGGUCCGACUGGUAGGUCUGGGCGACGGUUACAGAGCUCCUCUGCCCGGCUCCCCGGACUUCGAGGACCUGUCCAACACGAUAUCGGGAAGCUUCUCCCCGACCCUGAAGAACGUCCCGGGCUUCCAUCAGCUUAAGCUCAGCGAGCUUCGCAAGAACGGCAACGACGGCAUAGUCGCUCGAAUGAACCUGGCGAUGGACAAGAACGAGAUCAAGGGUCGAGCUCUCGCUCCGGCCGACACCGCGGCCAUGGCUGAAGCUGCCCUUAGCGAAGCCCUCAGUAGCGGCAAAGUCGGCGCGCUCACCGUCGAUCCUCAUUACCUCGUGCUUCGCUCCCAGCAACCGUACGAUCUGGAGGAGAACGACCUUGACAAGCAGGGCAGCGAGAACUCUUUGAUGGCCGGGCUGUUACUGGGGCCGACGAAGCUCUACAUCGUCAUCGCGUGCUUGGCCGCGUUGCUGGCGCUAGCCUUGCUCCAGGCCAGCUGUACCAUCUACAAAGCCUCGAAGAAGCGCACGACAAAGAGGGUGUACUCGCUGCCUCUGGUCACUUCGCCGUCAGCAGGUCAACCUGGCCAUCAGCAUCACGGCAAUCCGAUUCAUCGCAACCAGAACAACGGCAACAGCCACAACGGUAACGGCCACACUCUGAUGAACGGCUCGCGCGCUUAUCACCGGCAAAACGAGCAGCAUCACAACGGCAACGGCAGCCAUCAUCAAGACAUGCAGCGCCAGUAUCACCAUCAUCACCAGCAGCAGUUGCACUUACCGCCGAACAUGCACCGGCCCUCCCAAAAUUGGUAGAGAGCCGGAUAGAGAAGCACACAGAGGCGCGAGCGCAUGAAUCUUAUCCGCUUUCUCGUCCAGGAGAAAUUUCCGUUGCAGGACCGGCUGAUCGGUAAGAACGCCUGGCGCGACUACUCCUCGAGCGCCAACACGAACUUCGCCUUCGAGGCUUUCGAGACGGAGGAGAAGUCACCGCCCCCGCCGGUCUCCAGUCUCUCGCGGCCUCGCGAGAUGAUGAUGAGCAACGGACACUCAACCACCGACAACGGACACCACCAGCAACACCACGACAUGCAGCAGCAGCAGCAGCAGCAGCAGCGCAACAGCGUCAGCCAGAUGGUACCCGGUCCCAGGGCCACUUACAGUCUGCCACGCGCACCGGGACCGAGACAGUCCUCGGCCAUGUCUCCGGCUGGCGGACAAGGCUACUACACUCAGGAUCGACGGAACAUGCCUCGCUACAACAACGGCAAGGCUCCGAACAACGGACAUCACACCGGUAGCCUACAGCCGCAACCGGACUUCUACUUCAUGCCCAGUCAGCGCAAGUACAGCGGCGAGGUCGUGCGCGUCUACGUCGACUACGGCAAUCAGAAACCCAAAUGAGAGAACUCUCGUCUGUGCGACGGUGCAGCGUGUUUCUCUCACUCUCUCGAGAAAGAGAUCCUUGAAUUAUGAAAGAUAAUCCUGCGCGCGAUCGUCUCGCGCACCUCCGCGCGCCGCAGAGAAGAUUCAUAUAGAUUUUGUCGUAUUAUUUUGUAUGAUUAACAAGCUCGAGGUGAGAGCGCGAGCUCUAUUCGACUCAAAUUGUGCAGUAAUAUUUUGUAUAUAUAACACUUAUUAUUGUUGAAAGUAUAUCGUUGAUUCGAUUAUCUGUAUGAGAUUUUCUUCGUAUCGAGACAAACCAUAUCUUUCACGAUUCAUUGUAUAAAAAGAAAAGAACGAUACCGAUGUCGAAGUUACGAUCAAGUUCUACGCCAGCGUAGGGCUUGGUAGUUAUAAUUUACGUUAACGACACUUGUGGAAUAACGAAAUCGCAAACUUUUCACAUUAUGGAAAGUUAAUCGUCGGUUUAAGCUCUAAAAGACCUGUAAAUAAGUAAUGCUCAACUGAUGCCAGUCACUUGCGUGCGGAUUGUUUCUCUUAUCUAUAUAUAAUAUAAUAUAUAACGUAUGUUACACAACACGAACUAACUCCAUUGCGAAGGAAACCAAUUUCUAUUUCUUUAAUUUAAUAAAAUGUAAUAUCUCUAUUAUACGUUAACGAAAGCUCUGCAGCACGUGACGAGCACAGAAGCGGACGGAGCACGCCUGUACAUUUGCUCGAAUUUAGUAACUGUAAUGUAGCGUGGUAAAGCUAGCGUAAGUCAAGCGUUAUUUAUACGUAAGCUAUUCUCCCCGUCCUUGAUAUAUUGUAUAACGUCAGGAAUGAAGAAAAUUUCAAGAAAUUUGAAUGAUCAAUCCUACUUAUCGUUACAAUUUAUACAUCGAUUGAUGGUUCAAAUUGACUUCCCUCUUCCAGUAAUAGACGUAAGAAACGGACAUGUAUGUGGAUGAGAAAUAAAAUGUUUGUACAUUUUUUAACCCA